UACGAAGGGGGCUAGCGUUGCUCGGAAUCACUGGGCGUAAAGGGUGCGUAGGCGGGUCUUUAAGUCAGGGGUGAAAUCCUGGAGCUCAACUCCAGAACUGCCUUUGAUACUGAAGAUCUUGAGUUCGGGAGAGGUGAGUGGAACUGCGAGUGUAGAGGUGAAAUUCGUAGAUAUUCGCAAGAACACCAGUGGCGAAGGCGACUCACUGGCCCGAUACUGACGCUGAGGCACGAAAGCGUGGGGAGCAAACGGG
rnacentral:rRNA from 1 species